rnacentral:rRNA from 1 species
UACGAAGGGGGCUAGCGUUGUUCGGAAUUACUGGGCGUAAAGCGAACGUAGGCGGUGUUCCAUGUCAGAGGUGAAAGCCUGGGGCUCAACUCCAGAAUUGCCUUUGAAACGGGAACGCUUGAGUCCGAGAGAGGGUGGCGGAAUUCCUAGUGUAGAGGUGAAAUUCGUAGAUAUUAGGAAGAACACCAGUGGCGAAGGCGGCCACCUGGCUCGGUACUGACGCUCAGGUUCGAAAGCGUGGGGAGCAAACAGGAUUAGAUACCCUGGUAGUCCACGCCGUAAACGAUGAGUGCUAGUUGUUGGGAAGUUUACUUCUCAGUGACGCAGCUAACGCGAUAAGCACUCCGCCUGGGGAGUACGGCCGCAAGGUUAAA